rnacentral:rRNA from 1 species
UAGGGAAUAUUGGUCAAUGGACGCAAGUCUGAACCAGCCAUGCCGCGUGAAGGAUGAAGGUCCUCUUGAUUGUAAACUUCUUUUAUCUGGGACGAAAACGGGAUUUUUAUCUCAAUUGACGGUACCAGAGGAAAAAGCACCGGCUAACUCCGUGCCAGCAGCCGCGGUAAUACGGAGGGUGCGAGCGUUAUCCGGAUUUACUGGGUUUAAAGGGUGCGUAGGUGGGCUUAUAAGUCAGUGGUGAAAUCUCCGAGCUUAACUUGGAAACUGCCGUUGAUACUAUCGGUCUUGAAUUAUCUGGAGGUAAGCGGAAUAUGUCAUGUAGCGGUGAAAUGCUUAGAUAUGACAUAGAACACCAAUUGCGAAGGCAGCUUACUACAUAUAAAUUGACGCUGAGGCACGAAAGCGUGGG